rnacentral:rRNA from 1 species
UCGAACGAUGAACCUCCUUCGGGAGGGGAUUAGUGGCGAACGGGUGAGUAACACGUGGGCAAUCUGCCCUUCACUCUGGGACAAGCCCUGGAAACGGGGUCUAAUACCGGAUACGAGCCUCCAAGGCAUCUUGGAGGUUGGAAAGCUCCGGCGGUGAAGGAUGAGCCCGCGGCCUAUCAGCUUGUUGGUGAGGUAACGGCUCACCAAGGCGACGACGGGUAGCCGGCCUGAGAGGGCGACCGGCCACACUGGGACUGAGACACGGCCCANACUCCUACGGGAGGCAGCAGUGGGGAAUAUUGCACAAUGGGCGAAAGCCUGAUGCAGCGACGCCGCGUGAGGGAUGACGGCUUCGGGU